rnacentral:rRNA from 1 species
ACCGCACUCACGUUGGAACGACCGAGUGCACCAAACGCUCCGGCGCUGCAGGAUGUGGCUGCGGCCGAUUAGGUAGACGGUGGGGUAACGGCCCACCGUGCCGAUAAUCGGUACGGGUUGUGAGAGCAAGAGCCCGGAGACGGAAUCUGAGACAAGAUUCCGGGCCCUACGGGGCGCAGCAGGCGCGAAACCUUUACACUGCACGACAGUGCGAUAAGGGGACCCCAAGUGCGAGGGCAUACAGUCCUCGCUUUUGUGUACCGUAAGGUGGUACACGAAUAAGAGCUGGGCAAGACCGGUGCCAGCCGCCGCGGUAAUACCGGCAGCUCGAGUGAUGACCGAUUUUAUUGGGCCUAAAGCGUCCGUAGCUGGCCGCGUAGGUUCGUCGGGAAAUCCAUCCGCUCAACGGAUGGGCGUCCGGCGAAAACCACGUGGCUUGGGACCGGAAGGCUCGAGGGGUACGUCCGGGGUAGGAGUGAAAUCCCGUAAUCCUGGACGGACCGCCGAUGGCGAAAGCACCUCGAGAAGACGGAUCCGACAGUGAGGGACGAAAGCUGGGGUCUCGAACCGGAUUAGAUACCCGGGUAGUCCCAGCCGUAAACAAUGCCAAUUAGGUGUGGCACCGACUACGAGUCGGUGCUGUGCCGUAGGGAAGCCGAUAAAUUGGCCGCCUGGGAAGUACGUCCGCAAGGAUGAAACUUAAAGGAAUUGGCGGGGGAGCACUACAACCGGAGGAGCCUGCGGUUUAAUUGGACUCAACGCCGGACAUCUCACCAGCAUCGACUGUAGCAAUGAUCAUCAGGUUGAUGACCUCUAUGUUGAGCUACAGAGAGGAGGUGCAUGGCCGCCGUCAGCUCGUACCGUGAGGCGUCCUGUUAAGUCAGGCAACGAGCGAGACCCGCACUCUUAAUUGCCAGCAUCGCGUUCGCGCGGAUGGGUACAUUAGGAGGACUGCCGCUGCUAAAGCGGAGGAAGGAACGGGCAACGGUAGGUCAGUAUGCCCCGAAUGUGCUGGGCUACACGCGGGCUACAAUGGCCGAGACAAUGGGUUCCUACCUCGAAAGAGGAUGGUAAUCUCAGAAACUCGGUCGUAGUUCGGAUUGAGGGUUGAAACUCACCCUCAUGAAGCUGGAUUCGGUAG